rnacentral:rRNA from 1 species
CGGGUGCGUAACACGUGAGCAACCUACCGAAAUGAGGGGGAUAGCCGUCCCAACGGACGGGUAAUACCGCAUACGCUCUUGUCCAGGCAUUUGGAUGAGAGGAAACCUCCGGGGCAUUUCGAGGGGCUCGCGGCCUAUCAGCUAGUUGGUGAGGUAACGGCUCACCAAGGCGACGACGGGUAGCUGGUCUGAGAGGAUGGCCAGCCACAUUGGGACUGAGAUACGGCCCAG